GAGCACUGUUUCGGCAAGGGGGUCAUCCCGACUUACCAACCCGAUGCAAACUGCGAAUACCGGAGAAUGUUAUCACGGGAGACACACGGCGGGUGCUAACGUCCGUCGUGAAGAGGGAAACAACCCAGACCGCCAGCUAAGGUCCCAAAGUCAUGGUUAAGUGGGAAACGAUGUGGGAAGGCCCAGACAGCCAGGAUGUUGGCUUAGAAGCAGCCAUCAUUUAAAGAAAGCGUAAUAGCUCACUGGUCGAGUCGGCCUGCGCGGAAGAUGUAACGGGGCUAAACCAUGCACCGAAGCUGCGGCAGCGACGCUGAUGCGUUGUUGGGUAGGGGAGCGUUCUGUAAGCCUGUGAAGGUGUGCUGUGAGGCAUGCUGGAGGUAUCAGAAGUGCGAAUGCUGACAUAAGUAACGAUAAAGCGGGUGAAAAGCCCGCUCGCCGGAAGACCAAGGGUUCCUGUCCAACGUUAAUCGGGGCAGGGUGAGUCGACCCCUAAGGCGAGGCCGAAAGGCGUAGUCGAUGGGAAACAGGUUAAUAUUCCUGUACUUGGUGUUACUGCGAAGGGGGGACGGAGAAGGCUAUGUUGGCCGGGCGACGGUUGUCCCGGUUUAAGCGUGUAGGCUGGUUUUCCAGGCAAAUCCGGAAAACUAAGGCUGAGGCGUGAUGACGAGGCACUACGGUGCUGAAGCAACAAAUGCCCUGCUUCCAGGAAAAGCCUCUAAGCAUCAGGUAACAUCAAAUCGUACCCCAAACCGACACAGGUGGUCAGGUAGAGAAUACCAAGGCGCUUGAGAGAACUCGGGUGAAGGAACUAGGCAAAAUGGUGCCGUAACUUCGGGAGAAGGCACGCUGAUAUGUAGGUGAAGUCCCUCGCGGAUGGAGCUGAAAUCAGUCGAAGAUACCAGCUGGCUGCAACUGUUUAUUAAAAACACAGCACUGUGCAAACACGAAAGUGGACGUAUACGGUGUGACGCCUGCCCGGUGCCGGAAGGUUAAUUGAUGGGGUCAGCGCAAGCGAAGCUCUUGAUCGAAGCCCCGGUAAACGGCGGCCGUAACUAUAACGGUCCUAAGGUAGCGAAAUUCCUUGUCGGGUAAGUUCCGACCUG
rnacentral:rRNA from 1 species